CCUACGGGUGGCAGCAGUGAGGAAUAUUGGUCAAUGGGCGAAAGCCUGAACCCUCCCCGUCGCUCUCCUUCUUCCUUCUCUCUUUCUUUUCCCCCUCUUUUCUCCUAUAAUACAGCGUGGGACGUGUCCUGUUCUGUGUGUACCCUACGAAUAAGGAUCGGCUAACUCCGUGCCAGCAGCCGCGGUAAUACGGAGGAUCCGAGCGUUAUCCGGAUUUAUUGGGUUUAAAGGGUGCGUAGGCGGCUUUUUAAGUCAGCGGGGAAAGUCGGGGGCUUAACCAUAGAAGUGCCGUUGAAACUGGGAGACUUGAGUAUGUUUGAGGCAGGCGGAAUGCGUGGUGUAGCGGUGAAAUGCAUAGAUAUCGCGCAGAACUCCGAUUGCGAAGGCAGCGUACC
rnacentral:rRNA from 1 species